rnacentral:lncRNA from 1 species
GACAGAUGACUCAUGAGUUCUCAUUAUUGUUUCUCCACGCCUGUAAUCCCAGCACUUUGGAAGGCUGAAGUGGGAAGACGGCUUGAGGCCAAUAGUGCAAGACCAGCCUGGGCAACACAGAUCUCGUCUCUAUAAAAAAAAAAAAAUUUAAUUAGCUGGGCGUGGUGGCAUGUGCCUAUGGUCCUAGCUAUUUGGGAGGCUGAGGCAGGAAGAUGGCUUGAGCCUGGGAAGCAAAGGUUGCAGUGAGUCAUGAUUGCACCACUGCACUCCAGCCAUGCAGGAGGUGAUGGUUGUCUUGGCAGCAAAAACUAAGAAAAGUUGCGUUGACUGUAAAGAGCCUGUCAGUAC